AACAUAAUGAAACCAGGUACGAACAUAGCCAACGCCCAUUGCGCCCAGUUCAAGGAUACCCCUGUCAAUUUAGUGAUGAAAUCUAAUGCUAAUAAGUUUGGCGCCAUUGCAGUAGCAAAGAAGAAGGAUGUGACCUUUGUUGCGAAGUAACCAUUUUGCAAGAGGUAAGCACCGGCUUUUUUAGCAGUUUCACCAGGAUAGGAACCAACAGCUUCAGCGAUGGACAAAU
rnacentral:antisense_RNA from 1 species